rnacentral:miRNA from 1 species
UGGUAAGUUGGUCAAUUGGC